CAGGGAGACAACAACUGAUCGUGAUGUCUGAGUACUUUAUUCUCAGGCCAUGAUCCUGUCAUCUCGAAGGUCGAUCGGUACCUCAACUUUAAGCCUUAGAUGAGCAGUUCACUUGUUGGGCUGUUCAUGCUGAUGGUUUGAUUUUCAGUUCCUAAACGUUGUCUAGGUCACCCCAUAGCGGGUUCACAUCCUGGGCCAUUAGCUCAGGUGGUUAGAGCGCACCCCUGAUAAGGGUGAGGUCCCUGGUUCAAGUCCAGGAUGGCCCAUUCCAAAAUCCAGUUUUGGAUGAUUUGGGGGUUUAGCUCAGUUGGUAGAGCGCCUGCUUUGCAAGCAGGAUGUCAGCGGUUCGAGUCCGCUAACCUCCACUGACCGAACCCCAAAGAGAACAAGGAUGUGUUCUUGAGUGUGGUGACUGUAGACGUUGUUCGCUGAUCGAGUUCAGCCUCAGCGCAUUCCAACGAGGGCGAUGGUCUUCUGGAUGGUUGCGCUGAUGCUGAAUUCAGUGGUUGCUCUUGAAAGAGGGUAGCUGUUGAGUUUCAGCAGAACCUUGACAACUGCAUAGGUGAGUCUGGAAAGACAAAGCAUCUCAUGGAUGUGAUUCAAUCGAGUGUUGACCAGUGAUGGUCAUGCUGGAUGGAAUCAGCAUUCUAUUUUGAGAGCCGAGACCUUCUAGCGUUCUUCCAACGGCGCCGAGCCGGCGGGAGUCUGAUCCUUGCUUGCUUGCAAGCUUGAGAGAAUAGGCCUCAACAGCCUGAAGCGUUAGGAGGGAAAUUU
rnacentral:tRNA from 1 species